rnacentral:rRNA from 1 species
UACGUAGGGGGCUAGCGUUGUCCGGAAUCAUUGGGCGUAAAGCGCGCGUAGGCGGCCCAGUAAGUCCGUUGUAAAAGUCAAAGGCUCAACCUUUGAAAGCCGAUGGAUACUGCUGGGCUAGAGUCCGGAAGAGGCGAGUGGAAUUCCUGGUGUAGCGGUGGAAUGCGCAGAUAUCAGGAGGAACACCGAUAGCGAAGGCAGCUCACUAAAUUGUAACUGACGCUGAGGCACGAAAGCGUGGGGAUCAAACAGG